GACGAACGCUGGCGGCGUGCCUAACACAUGCAAGUCAAGGCGGUAGCAAUACCGACUGGCGCACGGGUGCGGAACACGUAGGUAAUCUGCCCUUUAGGGGAGAACAACCAGCCGAAAGGUUGGCUAAAUCUCCGUAACAUCGCGAUGGGGCAUCUCAUUGCGAUCAAGCUUUCUAAAGGAUGAGCCUGCGUCUGAUUAGCUAGUUGGUAGUGUAACGGACUACCAAGGCUACGAUCAGUAGCUGGUCUGAGAGGAUGAUCAGCCACAUUG
rnacentral:rRNA from 1 species